AUGGAAUGGUUUGGGUUGGAAGUGACUUUAAAAAACAUCUUUUUCCACCUCCUGCCAUGGGCAGGGACACCUUCCACUAUCCCAGGCUGUUCCAACCUGGCCUUGGACACUGCCAGGGAUCCAGGGGCAGCCACAGCUGCUCUGGGCACCCUGUGCCAGGGCAUGCCCACCCUCACAGCCAGGAAUUCCUUCCCAAUAUCCCAUCUAACCCAGAUGAAGCCAUUCCCUGUGUCCUGUCCCUCCAUCCCUUGUCCCCAGUCCCUCUCCAGCUCUCCUGGAGCCCCUUUAGGCUUUGCAAGGGGCUCUCAGUCCCCCUGGAGCCUUCUAUUUCCAGAUGAGCACCUCCAGCACUCCCAGCCUGGCUCCAGAGUCCUGGAGCACCUUCAUGGCCUCCUCUGGACUCGCUCCAGCAGUUGGACAGUAUCUGUGCCAACAUCAACCUUGCAGAUGAUUUCAAGUCAGGAAAGAUCCACCACAAAGCAUAAAGCACUCCUGAGCCCUUGUCCCCAGUGCAAUCCAGAGGGGAUCCCUGCCAAGAACACCCAAGGAACACCUGCCAUACACAUAUAUAAAACCCCAAAGGCCACGGGCAGCUUGGAAUUCAGCAAUCCCAGCUCAUUCCCCAGGUUAUGGAAGCUUGGAAGCAGCAGGAACCAGGAUCCUAAUGCAGACCCACUGCCCAGAGCACCCUCGGGUGGGUGGCUGAGAAGAGGAGCUCUGGAUGCCCUGUCCAAGGGAACUGGAUCCCUCCCAGCUUCUGGGUGCAGGGUGGGAGCAGAGGUGCCCCCAGGACCUCACCCAGCCUCCCACAGCAAGGAGUGGCCCCCUGCCCACACCCAGCCUUGCCCUCCCACUCCCACCACUAUCCUGCUUCGAUCCCACUUCAGCAGGACCUUCCCUUCUCAUCCUGUAGGGGCUGGUGGAGGAAAACUCCCCGUGUCACGUGGCAGAGAACAAAAGGAGCUGUUUGGAACCGAAUGGGUUCAUUUUUGGCAAGAACAGGGCGAUGCCACGCCAGCCUCGCUUCUCCCACAGGAAUCAGUCCGGCACGAACAAGGUGGGUUUGCUGACAAGGAGCACAUCCCGUCCACUCCAACCCUUCCAGCUCUGGCACUGCCAGGAUGGGACAAAUCUGGGGCUGGGCGCAGGCAAAAGGUGGAAAUCACACCAACAAAACCAAGGGAAAAACCAAGAUCCAAGCAAACUGCAUCGCGCUGGGAGCUCGGGGUUUUCCCAUGA
rnacentral:lncRNA from 1 species